GCUUGUAGGUUUUAAUUUCUUUGUUUACAUUCUUAUAUAUUGGGAACCAUUAACAAAGUGCAUGGUAUUUGCUCAUUUCGAUUGUUUUGCCUCUAAAAAACUAUUGAAUCUGAAUUUGUGUUAGAUUAUGAGUACAUGUUUUUUUUUAGCCUAGGAUCAUAAAUGACAAUGAUUAUGAAAUACCCGCGCUUCUGAGAGUAGUCUAUGAAGCUAAAAUGGUACAAGUGGUUGAAUUUCUUGAUAUGAGCCAUUAUUGAUAGACUAAACCAUGUAAUUAUGGGUAUUUUAUUCGGUUAUGUUAUUGAAUUAAUUGUGAAAUUUGGCUGUGACGAUCAUUACACAGCUUUAAGCCAGUUCUGCUUCAGAAAAUUCUUGAUAGAGAGAGCUGAAAUAUGUCUGAGCCUAGUUUUGUUUUUCUUUUCAUAGAUGUGUAUGAGUUUUUUAUAGAGAUUUAUGACAAUGUUAAUUGAGCAGCCUAUGAUGAUGUUAUCCAAUUACUUUAGAUGUAGUGGAACUGAGACCCUGUUUACAGGGAGAACCCUUGGGGAAACUAUAUUCGUAUGAGAAUAAUGGAUCGAACUGAGGCAUUAUGGCAUUUCUCAUUUUUCUUUCUGAUUUGGCCUGAGAUACUUUUUUUUUCGGCAGAGUUUUUGGUACGUCUUGGUAAUUGUUUAGUUUACUCCUGUACCAUGUUUUCAACUUCUUACUAUUACCAUGUCCUGUUAACUGGUGUGUUUGGUUAAGUGGUGGACAUGAAGACUCUAACGCCCCAUAGAGUUUGUGUUGUCUUGCAGAAGCUUUUUCUUUUGUAAUUAACGAGACCGGAGUUUAAUAUUUGACAACAGCAUUAAAUUUUCUGAGUCAAAAUUCUUCACCUCAAUCCGAUGAGGAAGCGAACCCAAAAGAUAGGAAGUGUCGUAUGACACUCUUAAAUACAGCAGUUUGAUUUCAUUUCUUCCUAUUAAACCAAGAAACUUCUAUUGAAAUUCAAACUGUUUUUGAUCUGUUUGAUUAAGAAUUUCCAAAGAAUUCUUUUGAUAUCAGAUCAUUGUAGGUCCAAUUUCCUUAGAUUAGUAUUGGCGGUGGUGGUUGUUUUGAUUCUUUCUGCUGUGUGUAUGAUUUGGAACGGGAAUCUGAGGGUAUUUCUAUCUCUAUUUCUUGUGAAUUUUCUCUAGUUUUCUUUUGAUAGGAUUUGUAUUUAUUCUGUAUUAUCUUAAUUUGGUAUUGUUUAAGAGUUUUAUUGUUGUAUAUGAUGAUAUCGCUGGAAAUGAGUACGAAAUUAGGUGAGAGGACAUACCAUCAUGCUCUGUGAGUUUCAACAUUGAAGUUACUGUAUAUUGAUGUUUGUAUUCACCGCGCGAGAUGGUAUUCCUCCCAUCUUAAUGUGUAUGUUUCUGGUGCAUCUGAUUUUUAGUGAUCUGGUUAGGGACUUGUUAUCGGCGGGGGAGUUGGCACUUGUAUGAUAUCGGUGGGGAAGAUUUAGGCAAAAAUUCUCUCUUUCAUAGAUCGGAGCUAGCCUUUUAAGUUUGUAUUAUGUUUGUAAAUUCCAUUUGCAAACGUCGUAAAGAAAACCCGAGGCUUUGUACAAACUGCAUGGUAUUCAACUUCUUAAUUUUAAUUGUAAUGUCGAUUACAAUCUUGAUUUUAUUGGGACCAGUAACUUACUUCCUAACUAUCCUGCUGGCUUAUUUGAUGGUUUUAUCUUCAAAAAUUCUAGCUACAUUGUUAAUUCUUGCUUAUUUGUGUGUUAGUUAUGAGUACACAUUUUAGUCUAUAUGAUCAUAAAUGGCAAUGAUUACAAAAUACCCGUGCUUCUGAGAGUAAUCUAUGAAGCUAAAAAGGUAAAAAUGGUUGAAUUUCUUGAUAUGAGCCAUUAUUGAUAGACUAAACCAUUUAGUGUUCGAUAUUUUAUUUAGUUAAUGUUAUUAUAUUAAUUGUGAAAUUCAGCUGUGAUGAUCAUUACACUAUGCCAGUUCUGCUUCAGGAAAUUCUUGAGCAGCCUAUGGCAUUUUUCAUACUGAUUCAUACCGAGUUUUGCCUGUAAUACUUUCUAUUUAUUUUUUAGUUUAUUCCUCUCAAGUUUUUGUUACAUCAGUAAUUUUUAGUUCACUAGUAUCAAGUUUUUGUCCUUUAACUGAUGUGUGUUCGGAUAACUGGUGGACAUGAAACUGAAACAACCCAUAAUGUGUGCUUGUGUGGCAUGAACUUCUUCUUUCGAUAAUGAGAAUGGGGUCUAUUGACAGCUACAUUUUCAUUUUCUUAGUUUUCUUGACUUCUCGUCCGAUUUCUUAAACGCAGCAGUAUGAUUUGUUUCAAGGUAUUUCUAUUGAAACUUGUAAUUUGAGAUCUGUUUGAUUAUUAGAAACCAUCUUUCGGGACAGAAUGGUUUCGGGACAGAAUGGCUGUAUGACACUUUUAAAUGCACCACCAUGCAGAUUUAUUUUCUUCCUAUUGAAGUCUGGAUACAUUUUCAACCUGUUUGAUUAUAAGUUCAAUUUCCUUCAAUUUUUUUGAUACAUUUUUUUUUUCUGCUUCAUUGUAUUUUUUGUAUUUUGAUUUGUUAAUCCCGAUGAGGAAGCGAACCCAAAAGAUGGGAAGUGCCGUAUGACACUCCUAAACACGGCAGUUUGAUUUCGUUUUUUCCUAUUAAACCAAGAGAUUCGAUUGAUUUUGAUCUGUUUGAUUAAGAAUUUCCAAAGAAUUCUUCUGAUUUCAGAUCAUUGCAAGUCCAACCUCAUUAGAUUAGUAUUGGCGGUGGUGGUUGUUUCGUUUCUUCCUGCUGCGUGUAAUAUUUGGAAAGGGAAUCUGAGGGUAUGUAUCUUCUAAUUCUUUUUCUAAUUUUCUUUAGCUGUGAUUUGUAAAUAGAAAUUCUGUGCUUUGAUCCUUUUUAGGGUUUUCAUUGUUUUAGUUUUAUAACGAUUUUCUGGAAAAGAGUACCACCAAAUCAGGUGAGAGGAUAUACCCGUCAUGCUUUGUGAGUAUGAACAAAAUCAGCAGCACAGAUCAGGAUUGAAGUUAUUGUAAAUCACUAAAUUGAUGUUUGCAUUCACUGUGCGUGAUGAUGUUCUUCCCAUCUUAAUGUGUAUGUUUCUGGUAUCUGAUUUUUGAAUAGGGACUUGUAUGAUAUCGGCAGGGGAGAUUUUGGCAAUUCAUAAAAAAAUCUGAGAUGUUGAUGGUCGAAAGAUCUCCAUCUCUGGUGGUCUCAUAUUCAUGAGACAUACAUUUAUUCAGUAAUUUAAUCACAUGUUUAGGUAUAUAUAGCCUAUGAGGAUAUCGAAUUAUAAACAACACCAUCUUUCGGGACUGAAUGGCUUAACAACGCCUUGGUGACAUAAUUCUGCAAUUCUGAGGAUUUUAGGUAUUAAUUCUUUUGUUCAUAUUCUUGAUUUUAUGUUUUAGUCUAUAAAAAGGUAAAAAUGGUUGAAUUUCUUGAUUUGAGCCAUUAUUCAUAGACUAAACAAUUUAGGGUUAGAUACUUUUUUUAGUUAAUGUUGUUGAAUUAAUUGUGAAAUUCUGCUGUGAUGAUCAUUACAUAGCUUUAUGCCUAUUUUAGAAAAUUCUUGUGUAUCUUCAUGUAGAUGCGUGUAAUUAGUUGAUUGAAAAGCCUAUGAUGAUGUUAUGCAAUUUUGUUGAGAUGUAGUGGAACUGAGACCCCCUGUUUACAGGGAGAACCGGGGAAACUAUUUGUGGAUGACAAUACUGGAUCUAACUGAGGCAAUUAUGUCAUUUAUCACUAUUUUUUUCCUCUCUUUUCCGUAAUGGUAAUUGUUUAAUUCACUCCUGUUAAGUUUUCAUUUCAACUAUUCUCCUUGUCCUGUUAACUGGUGUGUUCGGAUAACUGGUGGACAUGGAAACUGAAACAACUCAUAGAGUUUGUGCUUGUGUGGCAUGAUGAGCUUCUUCUUUCGUUAAUGAGAAAACGAGAACGGAGUUUAUUAACAACACUGUAUUAGUUAAGGUUUCUCCUUCGAUUUUCAAUUUGUAUCUUGAUUUGUGGUUCUGUGAUUAAUCCCGAUGAGGGAGCGAACCCAAAAGAUAGGAGUAUGACUCUUAUGCAGCAUCAAACAGCAGUUUGUUUUGUAUUUAUUUGAUUAUGAUAUUAUGAUUUCAAAUCUAAGGAGAUUAGUUGGUUGUUGUUUCGUUUCUUUCUGCUGUGUAUGAUUUGGGAAGGGAAUUUGAGGAUAUUUUAUUUCUAGUCUUCUGAUUUUUCUCUAGUUUUUGUAGGUGCUUAACUUUUCCCAUCACCUCAGCUUAAUUAAUAAGAGGUUUUGUAAGAGAAUGAAUAGUGAAUGUUAACUGAUGCACUAAUUCUAUUGUCCCUGACAUGGUUUGAUCAUUUUCCAGAGUAAUUCACUGUUGAUAGCUUUCCUUGUUUAGUUGAAGCCGGUAUUCGAUUCAACUUUGCAGAGGGUCAUACUAAAACUUUGUACGAGUUUGUUCAGAAGGUGUCUCAUGUAGAGCACCUAAUGGUAUAGCAUGCGUACUUACCUCCGGCCCAAGAGUGUUACUCCAACCAAGUUGACCAUGGAGGUGAAUUGAUGGUGGUGGUGGGUUAUCUAGCCUUCCUCGUCUUUAUAAGGCCUAGGGCUGCACCGAAACCGCAAACCGUACCGUAACCGCAAUAACCGAACCGUAACCGCACAGAACCGAUGAUCCAACGAUCGGUCACGGUUUUCAUUUUAAUAACCGUUAGAUUUACGGUUCGGUCAACGGUUUUACCCAUAACCGCACCGAAAAACCGAAUAUAUCUAUAACCAUUGAUUUUAUAAAUCAUUUUAAUCCUAACCCUUCAUUUAUUGUAUAUAAGCAACUAACCUAACCCUAGACUAACACUCGCUCACCAACUCUCUCCGACUCUCUUUUAUCUUCUUCAAAGAACCUGCCUCUUUCUCUUUUUUUUUUCCUUCUUUUACUUACAGUCACGACUACCAUAUAAGAUCAAGAUCAUCACUCCAAUCACCAACUUCUUCUUUUUUUUCUUCUUUGAUUGAUUCUUUUUCUUGUGUACCAACCACCUGCAGCAUCAUGGUUUCAAAACCGCCUCCUACACCACCAUCAUCAGCACCACCGCCUGCUACACCACCAUCACCAGCACCACCGCUUUUUUUGAUUAGGGAAAUUAGAGAUUGAUUGGAUCUAAAUUUCUUUCUUUCUUUCUGUUUUUUUUUUUGAAGUAUCAUGUUAUGUUUGUACUUUUUUACAGGAAAUGGAUCUGUUAUUAUAUGAAGAGAGAAAGAAGGUAUGGUUACGUUGAUGGGAGAUAAAGAGUUUUCAGAGAUAGUAUGAUAUGGUGGAUCUGUUAAGGGGAAUCAUGAUCAAUUAACUAGUUAUGAUUUUUUGAGGAUGGAAGCUUGAAGGUUGCAGUGGAAUUAGGGAACUUAAUUUGACUUACUCGGUGUUUUUCUUUCCAAAGUUUGUUGGAUAAAACUUUGUUUCUUCAUUUUAAUGGUUCAAUUGUUGAAUGUGUUUGGAAAUCACUUGAAUGUAAUGUAAGAAAAUCACUUCAUUUUAAUGGUUCUAAUGUUUGUACUUCU